CGGGGAAUUUUCCGCAAUGGGCGAAAGCCUGACGGAGCAAUGCCGCGUGGAGGUGGAAGGCCUACGGGUCGUCAACUUCUUUUCUCGGAGAAGAAACAAUGACGGUAUCUGAGGAAUAAGCAUCGGCUAACUCUGCGCCAG
rnacentral:rRNA from 1 species